rnacentral:lncRNA from 1 species
GAUUUCACGAAUAUCGAUGUGAAAUAAUUUCUCUAUGCCGAAAAUAUUCGAGGGCAACGGUAGCUAAUUUUUAAUCGUGUUACAAUUUC